rnacentral:rRNA from 1 species
GUCUGAUUGAUUCUGUUAAAUCGCUUUCUGUUGCAUAGUUAUAUUUGUGAAAAGAGUUAUAACCAUUCUUAGGUACGCGGCUAACUUGAGACAUUACUUUUGCCAUCUUCGGAAAAAUACUUUUUAAUUCAGUCAUUCUUUUUCUCUCCCUUAAAUUCAAAUUUAUCAGGUCUUUCGAUAACCUUAAUCCCAGGAACAACGAUCCCGUCUGAAUCAAUCAUGACACCCUCAUAAAAGUGAGCGCCUUUUUUAAUCGCUGCCCAAUCAACUUCUUUUUUCACUUUCACAAAGCCGUUUUCUUUGGCGUAUUCCAUCAGCUCCGCUUCAUUCUUGAUAAAUUCCGGCUGUUGCUUCUUGAUAGAUAUUUUUCCAAACGGUAGAGAAAUACUUUGUUUAGGUUUCUUCCCUGCAUCUACUUGUUUUUUGAUCUCGUCGCGGAGAUAGGCUUCUAAGUAGGAAGAAUAAUGGUCUUGCUUAUCUGUGUAUUCCUUUUUCGCUGCCUCUCCCCAUUCCUUAAUCUUUUCGAUUUUUUCUAGUAAAGGCUCAAGUUGAUUUUUCACAACUUCGUCAAUCUCCGCUUUUUUAUCUUCAAAGAAAGAAAUACGGCGUGUAGCUUCUGCCGCACUUUCUAGAUCCGUAACCGCGAAUACUUGACGGAAGUUUAACUCUUCUUCCUGGUUUAGUUCUUCAAUCUUGCUUUCAAAUGGAUUCAAGUUAAAUCACCCUUCCAUAAAAUUUUUGUUUGGCUUAAAUCGUGUAUACGAGAAAAUCCCUUUACUUCUUGUUCUAUCACGUCCCAAUCAGUUUCCGGGAAUACAGUGUCUAAAUGGUCAAUAUCAGGUAAAAACCCUCUAUCAUGACAGCGGCCUAAGUAUGAAAAAAUAUCGUCGUAUUCUUCUUGCGGGAUAAAUAAAUCUUCUUCCAUGAAUACCUCAAGGUCUUUCUCUAAUUGGCUUCCAAAACCAAACUUCAAUUUAAUGAUGUCGAUUGCUAACCCUACACCAUUAGCCAUACUCGUUUCAUUUUUCAGAUUUAAAACCUGUUGUUGUUCUUCUAAAACAGAAAUUAAUUUUUGAAUAUCUUUCAUUUUCUCCACCCCUUUUUUUAAUUAAAGAAAAUACAUGGAUCAACCGACAAACCUUUUUUGCAGAUUGUUUCAAAUUCCUCUACUGUUAAUUUCCUAUGACCAUUAAUGAUUAGAGAAAAUUUUUGAGGAUUAAUGCCCGCCUGUUCUGCAAUAUGUUGUUUCUUUAUGCCUAAGACUGUGAUACGAGACGAGCCACUACGGUGGUGAAGCUGUUGACGCUACGCUUCCAGGAAAAGCCUCUAAGCUUCAGGUAUUGUCGACCGUACUCGAAACCGACACAGGUGGUCAGGUAGAGCAUACCAAGGCGCUUGAGAGAACUCUGGUGAAGGAACUAGGCAAAAUAGUACCGUAACUUCGGGAGAAGGUACGCUCUUGUGUGUGAAGGACUUGCUCCGUAAGCACGUGAGAGUCGCAGUGACCAGCUGGCUGCAACUGUUUAUUAAAAACACAGCACUCUGCAAACUCGUAAGAGGACGUAUAGGGUGUGACACCUGCCCGGUGCCGGAAGGUUAAUUGAUGGGGUUAGCGCAAGCGAAGCUCUUGAUCGAAGCCCCGGUAAACGGCGGCCGUAACUAUAACGGUCCUAAGGUAGCGAAAUUCCUUGUCGGGUAAGUUCCGACCUGCACGAAUGGCGUAACGAUGGCGGCGCUGUCUCCACCCGAGACUCAGUGAAAUUGAAAUCGCUGUGAAGAUGCAGUGUAUCCGCGGCUAGACGGAAAGACCCCGUGAACCUUUACUGUAGCUUUGCACUGGACUUUGAGCCUGCUUGUGUAGGAUAGGUGGGAGGCUUUGAAGCGUGGACGCCAGUUCGCGUGGAGCCAUCCUUGAAAUACCACCCUGGCAUGCUUGAGGUUCUAACUCUGGUCCGUCAUCCGGAUCGAGGACAGUGUAUGGUGGGCAGUUUGACUGGGGCGGUCUCCUCCCAAAGAGUAACGGAGGAGUACGAAGGUGCGCUCAGACCGGUCGGAAAUCGGUCGUAGAGUAUAAAGGCAAAAGCGCGCUUGACUGCGAGACAGACACGUCGAGCAGGUACGAAAGUAGGUCUUAGUGAUCCGGUGGUUCUGUAUGGAAGGGCCAUCGCUCAACGGAUAAAAGGUACUCCGGGGAUAACAGGCUGAUACCGCCCAAGAGUUCAUAUCGACGGCGGUGUUUGGCACCUCGAUGUCGGCUCAUCACAUCCUGGGGCUGAAGCCGGUCCCAAGGGUAUGGCUGUUCGCCAUUUAAAGUGGUACGCGAGCUGGGUUUAGAACGUCGUGAGACAGUUCGGUCCCUAUCUGCCGUGGGCGUUGGAGAUUUGAGAAGAGUUGUUCCUAGUACGAGAGGACCGGAAUGAACGCACCUCUGGUGUUCGGGUUGUCGUGCCAACGGCACUGCCCGGUAGCUAUGUGCGGACGGGAUAACCGCUGAAAGCAUCUAAGCGGGAAGCCUCCUUCAA